AACAGAAAAAAGAAAAAUUCAAAAUAACUUGUUUUGAGUGCUUGUUUGAUUUCAAUUAAGUUUAGCAGAACAGGGUAUCACAUUUUAAUUUCCAUUAUGUAAGAUUUAUGUGCGUGCAAAUCAGUUGCAGAUGUGGAAGUUAAAUUAGAGCCCAUUGAUUGUUUUGUCCAUCAGCUUAUGGAUAUACUCAGCCAUUGAACAGUGUCGCUCAAGUUCUCGAAUUCGCUGCAUGUCUUGCAUAAAUUGUAUGUAGAAGUAGAAGGAAUGGAUUUUACUUGUAUAAUUGAUCUAGUAGCAGCCUGAACUAGAGGACCAAGUAUGUUGAACCAGAGGCUAUCUUGUUGGUCGGUUCUACUCGUAUUUCCAAUGAAUCCACUGUAGACAUUGAACAUGUAGUGCAGGCUGUAAAGCCUAACAGUAUAGUAGUUGCGCUUACUUUAGUUUACUUCUAUUUAUGAGCUUCUGAUUUGUGUAUUUAUGAUCAUGUCUAUUGGAUAGACUCAUUUCUGAAAUCUUAUUUUGUAUGGUUAAAUGUUUGAUGGCUACCCAAAAAGCUGCUAAUCUUAAAUACACUUGUUGAAGAGUCUGUUUACAGAGCUGGGAAUAGGUACAUUGGUAAUGAAGGGAAUGCUGCAAAAUAGCAUUGAAUUGUUUGUUCAUGUUAUAUUUUUGUUAAUUUUAUUUGCUAUAUAUUGACUUUGUAUAUUGAGCAGAUUUGGUUCUCUCAUUAUUGUAAACUUUACAAACUACUUGUUUGUAAAUGAUAUGUAGUUUGAUUUACUCUGUUUUUGUGAGUAAUCCUGGAUUUUUUUGGCAUUAGUGAAGUCUAAUAUAAUUUGAUUAAUUGAGUCUACUGGAGAAAUUUUGUAUUUGGGUUAUGCUGCAAUUGAAGGAAUCUGGCAUUUGUAG
rnacentral:misc_RNA from 1 species